UACGAAGGGGGCUAGCGUUGCUCGGAAUCACUGGGCGUAAAGCGCACGUAGGCGGCUUUCUAAGUCAGGGGUGAAAUCCUGGAGCUCAACUCCAGAACUGCCUUUGAUACUGGAGAGCUCGAGUCCGGAAGAGGUGAGUGGAACUCCGAGUGUAGAGGUGAAAUUCGUAGAUAUUCGGAAGAACACCAGUGGCGAAGGCGGCUCACUGGUCCGGUACUGACGCUGAUGUGCGAAAGCGUGGGGAGCAAACAGGG
rnacentral:rRNA from 1 species